UUGGAAAAUAUAAGGCACGGUUCUGCCGGUCCUGUGCUGGUGGUAACCACACGUCUUCCACGCAGAAAGAAACAACAGACACAGAGCUCUACUCCGUAGAGGAUUCGCCACCUCAGGAAGGAACCAGGGUGAGAACAUCCCAGAACAUUCCAGCUGGCUGUCUGCCUGUGUCUGGGCCUCGCUUGCUUUGUGUCUUUGAUCUUUCAGUGCCUUUUAGGAGGACAGCAUCGUGCCGUCUGCCAAGGGGGGACGAAGUUCAGAUUUUUUUUUAAUGAAUUUCAGCAACAGGAUAGAUUAAAAACAGACACAGAACUAAUGACUGUUCCUCUUAACUGUUUACCUAACUCCGUCCUCUCGUCGUUGCCUUGUUUGUCACACAAAAGAGAGAACCUGGCCCUGUUCCUCAGGAGCUCAUGGUGUUCGUUUAAGACAGGUGAAGUGGGAAGGCCUCCAGGGGAGGAGCACAGAGGGGUCUCAGCCCUGUGGUCUCGGGAAGUGACUGACACCUUCUGAGCCCCAGUUUCCUCUCGUCCUUGGAAUUAGGAUGACUGUACUGUACCCAGGCCUGCUGGGAGGAGCGAAACGAGGGGAUAUGGGUGGCAGCAGCUGAGGUUUGUGAGAAGUCAGUAACUUUCUCAGGUGACGUUGGAGCCCGUUGCCUUCCGAGUGCGGAGGGAAGGUGGUAGUGAAGAGCCAGACUGGGCCGACUGGAUUUUUCCCGUGGUGAAUCAGUGGAAAAGAGAGCUGCAUGGACAGAGAAGGGCCCUGGCCAGCCAGAACCGUCUGGAGUGUGUCCUGGCAUUGGUCGUGCGGGGAACCUUCGUGAAAGUCACGGCCUAACAGAUGAGGGCACCUGUGUAGCUCGGCUGGAAGUGGGGUGAGGCUGGGGGCUGGGGAGUAGGGGCGAGUGGCUGCAGUGAGGGAGGGGAGAGUGAGGGGAGGGGCAGGUGUGAGAGAGUGGCCACGGGGGACUCAAAACUGGGUUGCCCUGUGCUCUUUGUCAGCCCCUCCCCCCUCCCCCCUCCUGCCCCCAAGUCUUGCUCUCUGUCUUUGCCUUUCUCCUCCUGGUCCCUCGUUUUUUGUUUUCUUUUUAACUAUUCAUUUAUUUAUUUAUUUGGCUGCACCGGGUCUUAGUUGUGGCAUGUAGGAUCUUUAGUUGCGGCAUGUAGGAUCUUUUAGUUGCGGCAUGUAGGAUCUUUUAGUUGCGGCACGCGGGAUCUAGUUCCCUGGCCAGGGAUCGAACCCAGCCCCCUGCAUUGCAAGCGCAGAGUCUUACCCACUGGACCACCAGGGAAGUCCUCCUCUGGGUCCUUCUGUCUCCACGCCACCCCUACUCCCCACAUCCGCCCCGUGUGUCCUUCUACCACCCAGGUCAGUGCGUACGUGAGGCUCAGCCAAUGCUUCAGACAACGCAGCUGCUGCCCAGUGGGUGCUCCCUGGGUGCAGGGGGUCGGGCUGGCUCUGAUUGGGUCAUGAGCAGGUGGGGCCUCCCACCCUUUCUUUAGUCUGUGAGUGAGAACAGCUCCUGCUAGUUACACCUCACAGGAAGUUCGAGCCAAAGGGUAGCACCUGACAUCAGGUGCAGCACGGCUGGCUGGGUGAGAAGGGGAGGUGACACCUCUGGGCUGCUGAGGCCUGUGGCUCCUUCUACCCAGGGCCAAGGAAAUCAGGUCACCCUGCCCCCUUCCCUCUGCUAGAUGCGGAGGCACCGACCGCUGCCUCUGGGGCACCAAAGAAAUAUUCACGGACUAGCUGGCCAGGGCAAGGAACCUGGGUGAGGGUCUCAAACUGGUGGCCCACCGGGCCAUGCCCCCUGCAGAUGGUUUUUAUUGGCCCCCACGGGCCCUCUCACUCUAUUACACAUCUCCCUUGUACCCUCUCUACCUCUUGUAUUUGCCUUCCUUGUCUUGCCCCUGAGCUUAUGAAUUUACCAACCCCCCCUAAGAAGCACAAAGAUGCUCCAGGAGCUUCUGACAUGGCUGGGAAAAUAAGACAAACAUACAGGCCAAGAGGACUGAGGCUGCCAGACCCAGUGUGUGGGACAGCCGUCCUAUUUUUGGAGUUUAGACGAGAGAUCUCCCACGGAGGUCAUGAUAGAGGAACGUACAGAGGUGAGUUGCACACUGAGCCUCGCGGGAAGAGGAAUGUUGGUUUGGAGACUAGGGAGGAAUGUUCCAGGAAGGGGAAGGACAGGAGGGGACCGCCUGGAGAAGUUUCACCUGGCUGGGCUUCAUUCCACACACAGCAGGGGGCACCUCUGAGGUGUUUGCAUAAGGGAGCAAUGAUGAAGGCACAGAACAAUCUAAGGAAGGUAGCAGGGGCGGGGAUGGGGGUGGGAGCCGAAAAGAGGUACCCACUGGGGAGGAAGUUUGAAGGAUGUAAAGACUGGGCAGUGCGCAGGCUGAAGGAUCCAAGGACACUAAGCUUGAAGCUUCAGAGCAUCACAGAGACAAAGCUCUUGCAUCAUGGAGAUGGGGAAGUCUUGAGAAGGCAGCUGCCUGGGGCGGGGGUGAGAAGUUGAGAAAUUUCGGUUGAAAUGUGUUACAUUUGAUGGAAGAAUUAGGUAGCAGGCGUUUAGAACUGUGGACCCACAGAUGGAGGUGGUGAUUUAGGGCGGUAGUGGAUUAGAGCAAGAAUCCCAAGGGAGAUGUGGAAGGGAAAAGAAAGAGAAGAGAGAGAGAGAGGCAUUGGGGAAGAAGACAGGUGUGGAAUCGGAGAGGGAGAGCACACAGAUGUCAGCAGAGAGGACAACCUUAAGAAAGAGGUCCACUGACAUCAUCAAGUGCAGAGGAUUCAGGAAAAGCAGAGCAGAGCUAAGGCUGGGGUUUGGAGCCAGGGAGUGGUAGAGGUUUCAGCAGGUGGGGAGAAGACGGCCACAUAUUUCACAAUCAGAGAGACAGCACCGGUGGAGAAGAGGCUCCUGAUCUCAAGGAGCGCGUGGUGGAUACAAGUGAUGUCACCGACACCGACACCGGCUUGUGGUGCAGGAAGGUACAGCAUUCAUCUGCAGGGCGCCAAGCGGAGUACUGGAGACUUGUGCUCAAGAGACCUAAACUCCCCCCACCCCUUGGAUUUCACGGAAGGAUUCUGGAAGGCAACAUUUGGGAAAGAAAACUGGGAGGCAUCUGUGCAUAGUGGAUGAGACCACCAACUCCAGAAGCAUUUCAUCUUAACAGAUGGAGUGUCAGUACACGCAGUUCCUGAGUUUCCAGCAAGUUGCCUUUCUUCCGUGCUUUCCUGGUAAGAGCUGAGGAAGUUGGGCCUUGGGGAAAAUGGAGUCCUGGUUGAGGUCUCCGGAGAGGCCUUUCUGAAGACGUGUCCAGGAACAACGGGCU